rnacentral:lncRNA from 1 species
UAAUUGUUCACACGGGGCAACACAGAGAAACAUUUGUCCAUAGGUAUUAAGUCCCAUAUUUCUAGAGUAAACCUGUUUCUUCAACCAAUGAUGAGCCAUCAGAAAAGCUCUAGAAAGAAAGCAAAAGACUUGGAUGCAUGCUUGAGCCAAGACGUUUUCAGCUAGAAAUGAGUCUAAGCCUAUANGGUUUGUUUUUGUUUUUUCCUACUGUAGCAACAGCUGGAAUCAAAAGUGAAGUUUAGAGGCUAUGAGGUGAGGCACAAGAAGCACCUGACACAUGCAUAGGAGGGCACCUGUUGACUUGCAUGCUUACCAACAAUGUGUCAUUAAAUUUCUUGACCAUUUCUAAUCACUAGUUGAAAAAUUAUAUCUCACUGGAGUUUUAUUUUGACUCGAUUGACUCAUAGGUUCAAGGCAUCUAUAUAUUCCUUUUCUGUGAAAUGUCCUUUACACAUUUUUCUAUUGCCAUUUAGGGCUUUUAUCAAUUUGUAGGAGUUAUUUAUAUAUUAAAGAAUUAGGACCCCCCCUUUUUUUCCUUUUUAGGGCCACACCUGCAGCAUUUGGAAGUUACCAGUCUAUGGGUCCAAUUGGAGCUGCAGCUGCAGGCCUCUGCCACAGCCACAGUGACACCAGAUCCAAGCCACAACUUCGACCUAUGCCGCAGCUUGCAGCAACGCUAGGACCUUAACCCACUGAUCGAGGCCAGGGAUUGAACCCGCAUCAUCAACAAUCCUGUGUUGGGUUCUUAACCCGAGAAGCCACAACAGAACUCCUAUCCCUUUUCUAUAGCAUUAAUGGAAGAUAAAAUCUAUUUUGUUCACAGUGAUUUCACAAUGCAUUCUUUUAAAAAUUGUCUAUACAAAAUAUUUUCUCUUUUAUGUCAUCUUAGUAUUCUGUCAUACUUAUAAAAUCUUUCAUUUUGAGAUUUAAAAAAAUCAUCCAUUUUGUGACAGAGGCUAUAGCCCACAAAUUAUCUUAUUUUUAGGCAGAGAGCCAUGCUUUUAAUUGGUCACAUCCUUGCAUCGAGUUUUGACUAUGUUAUUUUUUAUUUGUUUGUUUGCAAGUGAGAUGUAAA